rnacentral:tRNA from 1 species
GGGAGUGGUUAGGUCCCGGUGGGCUUCCUGGUCUUCAAAACCUGUGGCGGGUCGCGUUGCGGGUCGCGGUGGGUUCGACUCCCAUCCACUCCCGCUCCA